rnacentral:snRNA from 1 species
AUACUUAUCUGACAGAGGAGAUACCAUUGUCACGAAGGUGGUUUUCCCUAGGGCAAGAUUUAUCCAUUGCACUCCGGAUGUGCUGACCCCUGCGAUUUCCCCAAAUGUGAGAAACUCGACUGUAUAACUUGUGGUAGUUGGGGACUACGUUCGUGCUUUCCUCUG